rnacentral:rRNA from 1 species
UACGUAGGUGGCGAGCGUUGUCCGGAUUUACUGGGCGUAAAGAGCGCGCAGGCGGCUGGUCAAGUCCGAUGUGAAAGCUCCCGGCUUAACUGGGAAAUUGCAUCGGAAACUGAUCGGCUGGAAGGUGGGAGAGGGUAGCGGAAUUCCCGGUGUAGUGGUGAAAUGCGUAGAUAUCGGGAGGAACACCAGUGGCGAAGGCGACUCUUUGGCCUGUAACUGACGCUGAGGCGCGAAAGCGUGGGGAGCAAACAGG